rnacentral:piRNA from 1 species
ACAUCUCGGUAUCUACGUUCAAGGA